AAAUUAUGGCCACCAUUCAAGCACGCCAAGUCGGGCAAACCAACAAAGGCAAGAAAGAGAGAUCCAACUGAGGAACCCAACAAUAAAAUGAUCUCCAUACUUAGAUGUAGUAUUUGCAAUGGAAUUUGCCAUAACAAAGGAUCCUACGAGGAGAAUCCAACUACUGCAGAUAAAAGGAAAAACCAGAAGAGAACAUAUGUAGCAACAAUGACUAAAUCAACCUCAAGAGCCAGAUUUGAAGCUUCAUCAACAAAUGUAGCUUCUUCAAAUCAAAACAAUGCUCCACAACUUCACAGCAUAGGUCACAGCCUCUUUAAAUAGUGGAACUUUGAACCAGCA